CCUGCCACCCGUCCCUACUCUGUUCUCCUCUUUAAGCUGCAGGGCAUACACUUAUCAGGGCUUGGGAGGAGGCAGUGGGGUUUCUCAGCAGCAGCCUCCACCACUAAAGCAGGGCUCCUGGCUGCAAGCUGUAUGACUUUUCAACUCUUCCAGACAACACUGAUGGAAUCCCUGAGUCUCCCCACUCCCAUACAAUUUGCCCUUAUAUUCAGUUGCCAUGCUUUUGCAUUCAGUUUCAAACAAAUACAGGGAGUUAAAAAGAGGUACUGACUUCUACAUUCAUACACCACACCAUCAUCUGAAUAUAAUCUGCACAACAGCUCCACUGACUUUUACUUGCUUUAAAAAUAUUGAUUGUUUGUUUUGAUUAACUGCCUAGGAAGUCUUUUCCAAUGGACAACACACACAGAUCAACCAUCCUCCCUGAUCUGCUCUCUGAGCAAAAUGCCAAUUGCUGUUAUCCCAAAAUAGCACCUGCCCAAAGGUGCUGUAAUUGGCUGAUAACUGAAUCAAUCAUCUACUGUCUCUUCUCUAUUGGUAAGGGCUAUAAAGACACCAUCCACCUUCCAAAACCAAAAUGAGGCAUUCCAAUUUGCUCAGGUAAUUUGCUCACUAGUAUUUAUUUUUAAUGUGUGAUCUUCAUUGGUCAGAUAAAGACACCAUGACCGGCACCCUCAGAGCCUAGGACACAAAAGAGGCAGGAUAGCAUAGAGAGUAUGAUAUAUACGUGUAAGGAAUGCAGCCAAGAUUAAAAUGGUGGUGGCUACUUAAACAAAAUGGCAGGGGCAGGAUUGGGGGCUGUGCCCACUUUGCACUUAGAGAAGAAUUGCCCCUUAUUUGGAGUGUCGCCUAAUGGAUUGGGUAGUGGUGGAAAAGCAUUCAAGUCAAGCAGCAUUCAAGUCAAGCAGGCUCAUCACCCUGACACUUCAUUCCUUCCCUGCAGAUCUUGAUAAGAAGGUUAAACCCUGAAACUUCAGGUUAAACCUUGAGACCUAGCAACCCUCAUUGUAGGAAUAAAGGAGUGCGCCACUCCUGAGGGAAGUAGAAAGGAAGACUGCUCAUGGAUGUUGGAAGUGCUUUGGUGCUUGACCUGAAGGUCAGCGAGUGUUUUUUGAGCAAAAAGGCUGAGUACAUAAUGAUAUAAAAUAAAUAAAUAAAAGUUCACCAGCUGUGUAUUGUUUUUCUCCCCAAGGCCAACAUAGAAGAAAAAGAAAGAAAUCACAUUUGGGGCAGUGGUGUAUUGCUGAUCCUUGUUCACAAGCAAAGCAAUCUAUGUUCUCACUCAUGUCCUCACUUCGACAUAGCACUUACAUUAGCAAUUCUAGCAUGAGCUAGGCCAAAAAUGGCAUUUUACGGAACAAGACAGCACAGUUCAAAAUGCUGCUAGCCUGCAGUAGCUUAAUGGUCCACAGAGUAUGUGCUGACUAUUUGAACUAUCGUCCUGGGAAGAAGACACCUGGAUAUCCUGCAAAAAAUGUGUAACAACAGAUGCACAGAGAUGGCGACGGGUUAGUCAGUGCAUUUAUUCAUACAGGCAAAGAGCAUUUCCAUUGUUAGGAAGCUCAAUUACUUAGGCAAUGACAAAAGGCCUGUCUGCUUGAGAGAGAGAGAGAGUUUUUGCAUGAGAGAAUUGAAGUGGCUGCUCUUCCGCUGCCGAGUUCCAAGCAGUGUGCGGUGGAAAGGUUAUGUUGGGACAUUGCCUUGAUGAUCAAACGGCUCUGAAAGAUCAACUCUUGACAACAAUUAUGCUCCAGAAUACCUGCCUGAAUAGAUAUGAUUGCAAACGACUGCACGCUCAGUGGAAGAGAUAGAAGGCAGCAGCAAAAAUACUAAUUUGCUUUGCAGAAGGAAAGGUACGUUGGCAUAAGAUGCAUUCAUUACCCACAAAGGAACAAAACUCACACGGAAGAAGACUACAUUCUAGACCUCAUAACUCAUUUAAUUUCUCUCUGUAUUUGAUUGUGUGAUUGUGUGUCCUUUAAGCACUGCUACUUUGUUUGAACAAAUUGUUCCUUUCCCCUUAAAUUUCAUUAAAUAUGCAAAGACUUUAUUUCAAAA